UACGGAGGGGGCGAGCGUUGUCCGAAGUUACUGGGCGUAAAGCGCGCGUAGGCGGGUUGCUAAGUCCGCUGUGAAAGCCCGAGGCUCAACCUCGGAGGGUCGGUGGAUACUGGCAGUCUUGAAGGUGGUAGGGGGAGAUGGAAUUACCGGUGUAGCGGCGAAAUGCGUAGAGAUCGGUAGGAACACCAGUGGCGAAGGCGGUCUCCUGGCCCACUCUUGACGCUGAGGCGCGAAAGCUGGGGGAGCGAACGGG
rnacentral:rRNA from 1 species